UGUGUUUGGCUGCUGAUAGGGCACUGGGAUCUGUGUAAUUUCCCAUGGAGCAACCCACUGCACCAGCUCAAACGUCUCUUCCUGGGAAUCUCCUGGUCUGGCUCACUGUCCAAGUCCCAUUAUUGCACUGAUUUUCUUAUGAGUAAAAUUGUUACAUUCAAACUCAUGCACAGAGUAUUUUACUGAAUGACAUUCUGCAGUAAGACCUGUCAUGAAUAUUGCUGAGAGACACAGAGUAUAAUUCCUACCUUAAACUUAAAUUAUAAAACUCUCAAGGAUGUUCUCAAAUAACAUUGGAUAAAUCUAUGCUAUGUCAUUGGAAGACAAAUACUUCUAAAGUAUAUUACACUGUUGUCACCAUUAUUUUUUUUAUUUGUGAGUAUGUAUAAGGGUUGCUUUAAAACCAAUUUCAAAAUAAAUGAAAAUUGAUACAAAGAAUCCUAAUCAUGAAAUUACUUUUACCUUAAACGUUUCCACAGUUUUUUUUCCUCUCUUUUUUUUUUUCAAGUUGGCUGACUAGGGAUGUUGGAUGCCAGCUCUCCUCAGAAAGAUCAAAGUUACAGGUGAAUGGUCAUGAUUUAAAUGGAAAUCUGAGGAAAUGGAGCAAGGUCCUGUUGGAGCACUCAUGAGAGGAUCCAGGAGCACAAAAGAGGAAAGCAACAAGAGACUGGCAGAGAUUGAUUCUCUAGAAACUUGGACCAUGAAAAGGGGUUGGACUGCGCAAUCUAUGCUGAAGCUGGUUGGCUAACUUGAAAUGUGUGGGAAUGCGAUGACACCAGUGGGAGAGCAGUAAGUACAGUUUCAGCAGCAGUAGUCAUUGCAAUGGAUGGAGUCAUUCACAGAGUGGGUAGCAGAUGUGGAAUGUGGGCUCUAUAAUAAGGACUGAGGGGAAGGUUGUUUACUAUGACUGAGGGAUCACAGAGAGCAAGGAAGUCUGGCCAUAAAAGCAGGGACAGAGGACAAAGAAACGUAAGCAAUCUAAACCUUUGAAGAACAAUCUCUUGCUGUAUUUAUCAAGAAGAAAUCAGUGUGAAGACACUAGCAGAACAAAAAACCUGAGUGUUGACACCUCAGAAGGAAGACACUAAUUCUUCAGCAGAAGAUCAUAACCAAAAUGAAAAUUCUAAAAUGACAGUAAAGAAUUCAAUAUACAAAUCACAAAGAAACUCAAUGAGAAAAAAAUUGAAAAUCAAAGCAAAGAAAUGAGAAAAAUGAUUCAAGAUAUAAAAGAAGAAAUUGCUAUAUUUGAUUGAAAAACAAGUAGAAAUUCUGGAACUGAAAAAUUUACCAAAGAAAUUUCAAAAUAUAGUUGUAAGCUUUACUAAUAGACUAGAUCAAGCAGAAGAAAAAUUUUCAGAGCUUGAAGACCUGUUUUUUGAAUUAACCAAGUCAGAGGAAAAUAAAGAAAAAAAUGUCUUAAAUAAACAAAGCUUUAGAGAAAUAUGGGAUUAUGUAAACUGACGAAAGCUUAUAAAGCAUUCUUGAGAGAGAAGAAAAAGCAAGCAAAUUGAAAAAAGGAAUAUUUGAGGGAAUAAUUCAGGAAAAUUUCCCUAAUCUUCCCAGAGAGGUAGACAUCAAGAUACAAGAAAUUCAGAGAACACCUGUAAGGUAAUAUAAAAGAAAAACUUCACCAAGACAUAUUGUCAUCAGACUGUUCAAAAUAAAUACUAAAGAAAAAAUCUUAAAGGCAGCUAGAGAAAAGGGUCAAAUCACUUAUAAAGGUAUACUUAUCAAACUACAAAUGUAUUUCUCAGCAGAAACCUUACAUGCCAGAAGAGAUUGUGAGCCUACUUUUAGCCUCCUUAAAGAAAAAUAAUGCCAGCUGAAAUUUUAUAUCCUGACAAACUAAGCUUAAUACAUAAAUGAAUAAUAAGUCAUUCCCACAUAAGGAAAUGCUAGGGGCAAUUAUCACAACUGGACUGGUCCUACAAAAAAAGCUCAAAGUAGUUCUAAAUAUGAAAAUGAAAAGAUAAUACUCGCUACCAUAAAAGCACUCAUAAAUACAAAGUACACAUAUCCUAUAAAGUAAAUACACAAUUGAGACUACAAAGCAACUAGCUAAAAACACUAUGACAGAAACAAAACUUCACAUGUCAAUAUUAGCUUUUAAUGUAAAUGGCUUAAGUGCUCCACUUAAAAGAUAUAGAUUGUCAAAUGGGAUAAAAAUAAAAACCCAACCAUCUGCUACCCUCAAAUGACCCAUCUAAUAAAUAAUGACACACACAGGCUCAAACUAAGAGAAAAAUAUGCAAUGCAAAUGGGAAACCAAAAGGACAAGGAGUUGUUAUUUUUUUACUAUAUAAAACAGACUUUAAAUCAGCAAUAGUAAAACAAAACAAAACAAAUCAAAGAAGGCCAUUAAAUAAUGAUAAAGGGGUUAAUUCAACAAGAACAUUUAAGUAUCUUAAAUAUAUACACACCCAAUACCAGAGUACACAGAUUUAAUAAGAAACACUGCUAGACCUAAGAAAAGAGAUAGACAGCUAUAUACUAUAGUGUGGGAAUUCAACACCCCAGUUAAAGCACUGAACAGAUUAUUGAAGUUGAAAACUAACAGGGAAACACUGGACAUAAAUUAGACGCUUGACCAAAUUGACCUAACAUCUAUCUACAGAAUUUUCUACCCACUAACUGCAGAAUAUACAUUUUUUCUCAUCUGUGCAUGAAACAGUCUCCAAAAUUGAACAAAAUUUGUCUGUUUUCACACGGAUAUGAAGAACUACUGAAGACUGGGUAAUUUAUUUGUAAGAUUUAUUGCUGAGGUAAAAUGAGGAAACUGAGGCAAGUAUAAGAAAGUGAGAAGCUAAUUUAUUCAGUUCCUGGGCUAGGUUCUGUGGUCCAGGGUGGAGCCAGAGAAGUUGCGCCCGGCUGUUCAGGGCGUGGGGUUUUAUGGGGAGGGCAGGCAACUGAUUGUCUAUUGGGGACACAAAGAGAAGGCAUUUCUAUUGGCUGUUGAGGAGCAGAAAGUACAU
ensembl:lncRNA